CAACUAUUAGGCGACAGUUUGUUCUGUUCUGUCAUAUCCUUCCGAUUUAAUUGUUCCAUUUUUUUUUUUCUUUAUUGAUAAUCUUCUCAGAGUAAUGUUUUGUACAGUAGCGUUGCCCAUUGAAUAAAUCACAGGUGUGUUCCGUGUCUAAACGUGACAUGCCAUUCGUGCAUUCAAACAUGUUUUAAAAAAAGACACUCUUGAAUGGACGUAAAGUGAGAAGCACUCCCACGCCAACUUGGUGUUCCUUGCCAAAGUAUACAGUUCAGUUGCCUUGCACAGUGAACACGGAAGAAAGCAAUUGUGAUCAUUCAGGUUAGUCGUAUUAUUUCAGAAAACGAUAGCACUAUUAAUGGAUAACCAAUUCGGAAAGGUUCCAGCCGACAACGCAGUGAAUACAAAGUUGUUUCUGGAGUCUGGCAUAUCUUCCACCUUUUUUUUGACUGCCUGGGGUCAAAAGUAUUUGCUCCUAUCAAAUCAGACAUCAGUGGCAAUAUAACAAAAAUCCGAGGUGUGUUUGACAAGGACCCUGCCAAGUAUGCAACUCUACAGCAGAUAGUGGAGGCAGAGAAGGAGACACAUGGCACAGAGUGGCCCUAACGUGGCUGAAGAGGUGAGCUCAGAACCAUCACAUCUGAAUGUGUUCGAGAGGUCUUCAUGUUUCAUCCAGAUCCUGCUGCAGAGCUUGGCAGACGGAGAGAAAGGCGAGAACAACCCUAACCUCAUCCGUGUUAACAUCACCAAAGCCUACGACCAGGCCCUAAAGAAAUACCACGGCUGGCUCGUGCAGAAGAUCUUUAAGGUGAUGGGACAUUCCAUCUUUUGAGGGUUGAGGAUUCUAUUUCAAAGAAGACGUUUUCAUCCGUGGCACCAUUUUUAUUAUUACUUUUCUGUCCCUCCUUUUAAAUCCCUCCCUACUGAAUGUUGAUAGUUUGGCCCAUGAUGAGUUGCUGCUGGACAGAAAGUGGCAUAUUCCGUGUUGAGUGUUUUUUAAUUCGUACACGUCUAGCACAGCUCUUGGUGCAGUCUGAUGCUGUUACACAUGAUUCACCACAGGUAAGAGACAUUCAGAAGUGAUAUCCUGAGAUCUGGUCAGUGUUAUUUUAAUACAGCAUCUCUUUCUCUGUGGGAGGGGAGAAUAUUCCUGCUAUUGAUUCACAUUGCACAUGACUCAUAAAAUUUCUACUGUAACUCUGCCAAGAAAUGUGAGAUAAUGCCCUCACUGCCUGGUAGCUACUGGGAAGUCAACUAUCCCAUGCCUUUAAAGAUUAUAACCACCAUUAGUGGUUUUAGUGACUUCAAAUCACAUUUUAUUAGUCACAUGCACCAAAUACAACAGGUCUAGACCUUACAGUGAAAUGCUUACUUACGAGCCCCUAACCAACAAUGCAGGUUAAAACAUUUUUUACGGAUAAGAAUAAGUAAUAAAAGUAACAAGUAAUUAAAGAGCAGCAGUAAAAUAACAAUAGCGAGACUAGGAAGCUUGGUCCCAGGGAUGUACUGGGCCGUACACACUACCCUCUGUAGUGCCUUGUGGACGGAGGCCGAGCAGUUGCCAUACCAGGCAGUGAUGCAACCAGUCAGGAUGCUCUCGAUGGUGCAGCUGUAGAACCUUUUGACGAUCUGAGGACCCAUGCCAAAUCUUUUCAGUCUCGUGAGGGGGAAUAGGUUUUGUUGUGCCCUCUUCACUGUCUUGGUGUGCUUGGACCAUGAUAGUUUGUUGGUGAUGUGAGCACCGAGGAACUUGAAGCUCUCAACCUGCUCCACUGCAGUCCCGUCGAUGAGAAUGGAGUGUGUGCUCGGUCCUCUUUUUCCUGUAGUCCACAAUCAUCUCCUUUGUCUUGAUCACGUUGAGGGAGAGGUUGUUGUCCUGGCACCACGGCCAGAUCUCUGACCUCCCUAUAGGCUGUCUCAUCAUUGUCGCUGAUCAGGCCUACCACUGUUGUGUCAUCGGCAAACUUAAUGAUGGUGUUGGAGUUGUGCCUGGCCGUGCAGUCAUGAGUGAACAGGGAGUACAGGAGGGGACCGAGCAUGCACCCCUGAGGGGCCCCUGUGUUGAGGAUCAGCAUGGCGAAUGUGUUGUUACCUACCCUUACCACCUGGAGGGUUACCCAUCAGGAAUUCUAGGAUCCAGUUGCAGAGGGAGGUGUUUAGUCCCAGGGUCCUUAGCUUAUUGAUGAGCUUUGAGGGGCACUAUGGUGUUGAACGCUGAGCUGUAGUCAAUGAGUAGCAUUCUCACAUAGGUGUUCUUAAGUUGUCUAUGAGUGAUGUUUUGUUUGCAUGGCUUUUGCAUGCUUGUUUGAACAACUGAACGUUUAGUUGUGUAGGGUUGCACUUCUUUCAUGUCUUUUUGUGUUAACGAUUUCAGUCUGUAAGAGUUUCCAUUAGUGGAAUCCAUAUUUUCAGUUCCUUCAAUUUUGUCAACACAAUGCCAAACAGUAUUUGGCACAUACAUGUACAUGUCAGUUUCCUUCACUAUUGGGUUGUCAUACUUCAUACUAUUUUUAAAGCAUUUUUUUCAGAAAGGUUAUUUCAGAAAUUGUAAUGUAUUUGCUAAUUGUUGGAAACUGAGGGGAGUCAUUCUAUAGUGCGGGUGAUAUCAAAAUAACAAAGUCAAUGCAUAUAUUUAUUAAUUUGCAAGAAACAUGCUUGGGUUUGUACUGUAUAUAUACCUAGAAAAUGGUUAUGUGCAUUGCUCACAUCAAAUCUCUGAAUGCCCUGUAGAUUUCAAAUGAUGAACCUAAUUUAUAUUGCAUUUUAAACAUUAAAAUGUGAAUUGAAGUACUGUGUAUUGAGUCACGGUGUCCUUCAUCACUUUAUACCAAAAGCCAAUGGAUAAAACCAGCUCCUGCCUACCUGUCAUAAGAAGCAAUUCACUUGUCAACCUCAUGGGGGGGACAUUUACCAAAUAAAUAUGAAUUCAUUGACUGUGUCCUUCUCAUGGGAUGCAGUUGCAACUUUUA